UGCAAUCAAUGAUGCAAAAUUUUCAUUGUUUCUGACCUAUCUGUGAUGAUCAUGUAAAAUAUCACCAUCUUUCGGCUGAGAUUGCA